rnacentral:rRNA from 1 species
UGGGGAAUUUUGGACAAUGGGCGAAAGCCUGAUCCAGCAAUGCCGCGUGUGUGAAGAAGGCCUUCGGGUUGUAAAGCACUUUUGUCCGGAAAGAAAUCCUUGGCUCUAAUACAGUCGGGGGAUGACGGUACCGGAAGAAUAAGCACCGGUUAACUACGUGCCAGCAGCCGCGGUAAUACGUAGGGUGCAAGCGUUAAUCGGAAUUACUGGGCGUAAAGCGUGCGCAGGCGGUUUGCUAAGACCGAUGUGAAAUCCCCGGGCUCAACCUGGGAACUGCAUUGGUGACUGGCAGGCUAGAGUAUGGCAGAGGGGGGUAGAAUUCCACGUGUAGCAGUGAAAUGCGUAGAGAUGUGGAGGAAUACCGAUGGCGAAGGCAGCCCCCUGGGCCAAUACUGACGCUCAUGCACGAAAGCGUGGGGAGCAAACAGGAUUAGAUACCCUGGUAGUCCACGCCCUAAACGAUGUCAACUAGUUGUUGGGGAUUCAUUUCCUUCAGUAACGUAGCUAACGCGUGAAGUUGACCGCCUGGGGAGUACGGUCGCAAGAUUAAAACUCAAAUGAAUUGACGGGGUCAUAGCUG